UACAGAGGGGGGCAAGCGUUGCUCGGAAUCACUGGGCGUAAAGGGCGCGUAGGCGGCGAUGCAAGUGACGGGUGAAACCCCCUCGGCUUAACCGAGGAACUGCCCGUUAGACUGCAUUGCUUUGAGGCCGGGGAGAGGCGAGUGGAAUUCCCAGUGUAGCGGUGAAAUGGCGUAGAUAUUGGGAGGAACACCAGUGGCGAAGGCGGCUCGCUGGACCGGAACUGACGCUGAGGCGCGAAAGCGUGGGGAGCAAACAGG
rnacentral:rRNA from 1 species